GGGGAUGAAAGGCCUCGACGUUUAGUUGUACUUUUACAAAUGGCUAGGGCGGACUUAUCCGAUAAAUAGGAAAAAACUUAACUGUCAAAACUGAAUUUUCAGAAACAAUGACAGACCUGAGAGAUUUUGUAGCUUCUAGAGUCUAUGCUCAACCAGCAUAUCUCCAGUUAGCUGCCUAAACUUUCAGGCUCCUCUUCUACGGUUUCCUUUAGUUCAACUGUAGUUGAGAAAACCAACUGAAGUGAGGCUGGUAAACGUUCCCGAUCGUUUACUGGUCAAACAACCCAAAAUCGGCUUCUUGAAUCAGGUUUGUUUAUUCACCUAUUCAGGAAAGAGUAAAAAAUAGAUUAUCUCUAGCUAAACAUUUAUAAGGGUACCUUUACGGACCCGGGUUCAAAUCCCGGCAUCUCCACCG
rnacentral:tmRNA from 2 species